rnacentral:tRNA from 1 species
GGUGGCUCAGUGGUAGAGCGCUAGCCUUGCAUGCAUGAGACCCUGGGUUCGAUUCCUUAGCACCA